AAGACCAAUGGCGCCGUGAUGGAGCACGCUGCAACACGUACGAGCGCGUGGAACACAGCACGACCACGCAGCCGAAAUCUGUUUACUUCUCAAGUUCUGUGACGGUGUCCGGGGCGCAACGCAUAUUCGCGAACCAUACGAGACGUCGUCACCAUGUCCGACGCCCCAAAGAAAGCCGCAAAGCGGCUCAUCAAGUGGCGCGAUAGCGCCCGCCGUCAACUGUCGACCGCCUCGUGUAGCGACGAUCUCGCCAGCGCCCUGCAAUUCGUUCUUCGAAACGUCGCAAAAACUUUCAGAGCCGUGCUACUUUCGUCCGACGACGAUCAACUGUCCCGGGACUUGAACGACGUCUUGUGCCAUGUGUCGUCUCACCUGUACCUACGUUCCCGCUCCUUGCUCGCCGAUCGGAGCAGCCGUUUCGACUACUGGGCGCAUCAGUGCGCUGUGCUCUCGUACCUCUUGGACUUGUCUCUCGUUCGCGACGAUCCCGGCGCGUUCACCAAGAUCUGCUUCGUCCUGUCGAAGAACAAGCACGCCGUUUGGGACGUCCUCGUGCAGACGUCGGCGAUCUCCUCCGCGAGCGACCUGCAGUCCAAGCUGGUGGACUUGUUUCGCCGGUUCGCGGCCUACUGCCCGCGCACGUGCGCGAGCGCUGAGCUCUACUUCAAGUUCGUCGUGUGUGCCGCGUGCUUGGCGAGACGCUUGCCAGAACGCGGCUGGAAGACCGUCAAGCCAGUCGUCCCUCUCGAUCGAGCCCGCGGAGUUCGACUUCGAGGCAUGGUUCGCCGCGCAGCCGGCCUUGGUCGCGCUACUCCCUCGGUCCGAGGUGCCGACGUGUCGUGCCAAAGUGAUCGCGCGACUGUGCAAGAGCGCGUCUGACCCGUCCGAGCUGCUGGAAAGCCUGCCGGACUUUUACGGAUUCCGGUUGCGGUGGCAUCAGGACGACGUGCGACGCCGCGGCGGCCGCCGAAGUCGACAGUGUUCCGAAUCGCGGACGAAGAGGUUCCGGAGCGAGAACAAGACGCGAAGGUUGCCGAGGUUGAGGAUGAGCAGCUGCAAGCAAUCCUAGAUGCAACGCUGAGCCGUCUGCAGUCGAACUUCGCCACGCCCCACGCUAGUGAAGCCGAGCCCAACUCCGAGGUCAUCAGUGACAUCAGCAACUCUCCGCUGAACACAAGAGUAUUCUUGGACAGACUUCUCCGCAACAGUGCUGGUGAUACUGGUGAUGGUGAACUGUUGAAGAAUGCCGAAUCCCCCACGAAGAAGCUCGGCAGCAGGCAACACGAAUCGGUUGAAGGGGUCAACAACAGUGCAGAAAACGAAGCUGUUACGGCUGCACUGGCAAAAGGUUAUGAACAUGCAAGUGUGGCUCAAGAAACGUCGGAAGGUGAAGGUGGAGAUGGAAAUUGUGCAGACGGAACACCCGCGGUGUCACAUCCACGAAAGAAACGCCGGAAGCGGAAGAGGGUUCGCAAAGCUCAUACCUCGAGCAAGCUGCAUGGAACUGCAGAAGCUGAAUGACAAGCUGACCGCAUCAAAAACUGCAUGAAGAGUCUGAUGCUUCCGCACUCUCUACGGAUGAUGAAGUUCAGGAGAAGACUCGUAAGUCUUCUCGAGGAAACAUGCUUCGCCAACAUGUGCAUGAACCUUGUUCGGUUUCAGCUGCACGAGAUUCGGAUACUCUGGCCAUGCUUAAUGGCAAGUAGGCAUGGAGUGAACGGUGACCAGCGUGGAGUGAAAGUGACAGAGCAUGAUGUCCACAGUGACCACGAAGAAAUGUUGCAUGUGCACCGUGACUCCAAAACCAAUGCUAAAAGGUCGUCGACAAAGGGUAGAGAGAAGCACGGUGGACACACUGAUGAUUCCACUGAAAGUUUCUCAAGUUCUCUGGACGAUGAGGUUGUUGAGAAAGCCGUUAGACAGGCAACGUCUGACGAUGCUGCCAAAGCUCCUUCGAGUGUGUCGGAUGCUGAGGUUGCUGCAGAAAAUGGUGGACAGAAUCUGCUUGAGGAUGCUGCUGUAACUCUUUCAAAAUCAGAUUCAGAGUCUUCUGGGCAGCCCCUUCUGCUUACGCCUGUCGAGGCUGGAGAUAUGGCCACUGUGAUUACUAUGAAGAAGGCACGUAGGAGCCGAAUCGUAAUUUCCUCUGAGUCCUCUGAUGAAGAACACAGUGUUAAGCACUCAGCACUUGAAGCUGAGCCAGCACGAGCGGUGAAGCAGGCAUGUAGGAGCAGAACUUUCAUUUCCUCCGAGUUUUCUGAUGAAGAUCACAGUGCUGAGCGCUUGCCACUGCAAAAAGCAGAGUCUACUGAUGAAGGCGGCGUUGUUGAAGACUUAGAACAAGAAGAUGGGUCUUCCGACAAUGAGGGUAGCGUCAAACAAUCAGCACCACAAGAAGCCAAGUCUUCUGAAAAGCGCUGUGUUGAGCACUCAUCUCAACAGGACCACAAGCCAGCGAGAGCUGUGAAGAAGGCACGUAAGAGCAGAACUUUCAUUUCAUCUGAGUCUUCUGAUGAACAUCACAGUGUUGAGCACUUGCCACUACAUAAAGCCGAGUCUACUGAUGAAGGGGGCGUUGUUGAAGACUUAGAACAAGAAGCUGAGUCUUCUGACAAUGAGGGUAGCGUCAAGCAGUCAGCACCACAAGAAGCCAAGUCUUCUGAAAAGCGCUGUGUUGAGCACUCAUCUCAACAGGACCACAAGCCAGCGAGAACUGUGAAGAAGGCACGUAAGAGCAGAACUUUCAUUUCAUCUGAGUCUUCUGAUGAACAUCACAGUGUUGAGCACUUGCCACUACAUAAAGCAGAGUCAUCUGAUGAAGAGGGCAUUUUUGAUCACUCAGCACAAAAAGCAGAGUUUUCAGAUCAAGAGUGCAGUGCUGAGAACUCAGUACAAGAAGCCGAGCCUUUGGAAAGGCAAUGCAUUGAGCACUCAGCACAAUGGGAAGUCGAGCCAGUGAGAACUGUUAAAAAGGCACGUAGGAGCAGUGCAUUAAUUUCCUCCGAGUCUUCUGAUGGAGAUCAUGGUGUUGAGCACUCGCCACUACAAAAAACCGAGUCUUCGGAUGAAGAGGGCAGCGUUGAGAAAUCAGCACUACAAGAACCCAAGUCUGCUGAAAAGCACUGUGUUGAACACUCAGACCAACGAGAAGACGAGCCAGUGAGAACUGUUAAGAAGGCACGUAGGAGCAGAGCAUUAAUUUCCUCCGAGUCUUCUGAUGGAGAUCAUGGUGUUGAGCACUCGCCACUACGAAAAACCGAGUCUUCGGAUGAAGAGGGCAGCGUUGAGAAAUCAGCACUACAAGAACCCAAGUCUGCUGAAAAGCACUGUGUUGAACACUCAGACCAACGAGAAGACGAGCCAGUGAGAACUGUUAAGAAGGCACGUAGGAGCAGAGCAUUAAUUUCCUCCGAGUCUUCUGAUGGAGAUCAUGGUGUUGAGUACUCGCCACUACAAACAACUGAGUCUUCCGAUGAAGAGGGCAGCGUUGAGAAGUCAGCACUACAAGAACCCAAGUCUGCUGAAAAGCACUGCGUUGAACACUCAGACCAACGAGAAGACGAGCCAGUGAGAACUUUUCAGAAGGCCCGUAGGAGCAGAACACUCGUUUCCUCCGAGUCUUCUGAUGAAGAUCGCAGUGUUGAGCACUCACCACUACAAGAAGCCAAGUCUUCCAAUGAAGAGGGCAGCGUUGAUCACUCGGCACAACAGGAAGUCGAGCCAGCAAGAACUGUAAAGAAGACACGUAGGAGCAAAACUUCAAUAAUUUUCUCCAAGUCUUCUGUUAGAGAUGACAGUGUUGAGCACUUGCCACUGCAACGAGCCGAGUGUUCCGAUGAAGAGGGCAGUGUUGAGCACUCAGCACAACAGGAAGUCAAGCCAGCAAGAACUGUAAAGAAGACACGUAGGAGCAAAACUUCCUUCGAGUCUUCUGAUGAAGGCGACAGUGUUGAGCACUUGCCACUAAAAAAAGCCAUGUCAUCUGAUGAAGAGGACAUUGUGGAUCACUCAGUACAAAAAGCUGAGUUUUCUGAUCAAAAGGGCAGUGCUGAGCGCUCAGCGCCACAGGAAGCCGAGUCUUUUGAAAAGCGCUAUAUUAAGCACUCUGCACAACGGGAAAUCAAGCCAUCAAGAACUGUUAAGAAGGCAGGUAGGAGCAAAACUGUAAUUUCCUCCGAGUCUUCUGACGAAGACCACAGUGCUGAGUACUUGCCACACCAAAAAUCUGAGUCUUCCAAUGAAAAGGGCACUGUUCAACUCUCAGCACACGAAGACGAGUCUUCUGACGAAGAGAACGGUGUAGAGUGCUCAGCACCACAAAAAGCAGUGCCUUCUAAUAGUGGGAGCAGUGUGGGACACCCAGCGCAACAAGCUAAGUCAUCCGAUAAGGAAGUGUGUGUGAAGCACUCAGCAACACAAGAAGAAUCUUCCAAUGAAAAGGGCAGUGUUGAAGACUCGGCGCUGCAAGAAGCGGAGCCUUCUGAUGGAGAAGGCAGUGUUGACCACUCGACUCGGCAAGACGCUGAGUUUUCUGAUAAAUGCAGCGUUGAGCAUCCUGCGCAUCCACAACCUGGACAACCUGCAGUUUUUUCAGAAAUGGCUGAUGAAAUCCCGUGCGGGCAGCGGUCACCGUGUGCUUUGUCACUGCUAGACAUGCACCUCUCGCCUCCCGAAAGUGACAAAUAUAACUCUCUCUCUCCAGUGAUUCAGGGCAGUCACCCGGCUGCUGAAUCUGAUGCUGAUACCUUGGAGAUACAAUCUAAUGAUGAAGGUGUCGCUUCUUGCAGGCAACGGGCUCCUCGCCUGUCACAAGCCACAACUGUUUCGGUUUCGUCCCAGAGGCGCUCGCCGUCACCUUUUUCGAAACUCAGGGAAAGGGUGAUGUCUUUUGAAGAGGAUUCUGAUGACGAAACAGAUGCUGUGGAUUUCAGAAGGAAGAAGACAUCUGCAGCUUUGCCACAGUCUCCUUUUAAGCUGCCGCUUCUCAAAAAGCCUGGCACUUCUGCUCUUUGUAAGUCUGUUAAAUCAAAACGUCAGGAUGGACGUUGCAGCUCGGAUAAAAGGAACAGCCCCAGCAAGAGCCAGCCUGCACGAAGGAGGGUGCGCUCUCGCGGUUCAGUUUCUCCACAAGUCAAACAGGUAGCAAUGUCCAACAAAUGGCAAGUUUCAGUGUCUGACUCCGAUAGUGCAGAUGCAGCUACAAGUGACAUAGCCAGUGUGAGCUUAAGGAGUAGUGUCGUGGGAUCGAGCAAUGUGUCAGCGGCAAAGGCUAAAGAUCUCAGUCCUGGCAACAAAAAGGCAAGCACUCGUCGUAACAGCCCUCGAACAUCAUUGCCCACGAAUAAGUCCUCUAAGCUGCCAGAAGCAAACAAAACAUCAGAAUUGGAGAGAAAUGGUGCUUCAGGAUUGGACUCUGAUGUAUGUCAAGAGGACGAAAACAAACCACUUGUGUCUGGAAAACAAACUAGAGAAAGCCCAGCAAACGUAGAGAAGGUGGUAACGCUUAAAACUUCACUUCCAAACAGAAGAAAGGAUACGCCUCGUCCACCGCCUUUGACUUCGGAUCUCGCCCUUCGAGAAAAGGCAACACUGAAGUUGUCUUCCAGUCACGAUUCGGAUGGUGCAAGUGUCAUUGUGAAUAAGGAGAGCGGAAGCAGCGAGCACUCAAGGCAAAACAAGGACAGUGCCAUGCAGCCGCUGGAAUCUGUAGUGUCUACCCGGAGGCUAAGCGCAAGGAGUUGUGCUAGAAGACUGGUAUUAGGACAGCAAAAUGAAGUUAGUGACUCCAACUCUAGCAGCACUUGUAUCGACGUAAAUGGCCGGACUGUGCAAAGCAUCGAUGUAGCAAGUCUGUCAACGGGGGUGGAAAGGCAGGAUGAUUCAAAGAAUGCAAAUUUAACUCCGGAAAAGCCAUGUGCUCCUGCAAAACGUUCCAGUGGGCACCUCGCUCAUAGAAUAGAGGCAUCCACGAGACCAGGCGAUUUGAGUGACAAUGGAAUCGAACAUGACGCUCCUCGCAAGCACCCGUGUCCAAAGUCACCCACAGAAAUGGCUAUCUCAUCUAUGAUCAAGCAGAAGCCUGGAAUUGAGGCGGUAGGCGCAAGCACCAGCAGGACUGGACAGCUGGCUUCUGGCAGUGGGUACGGAAGUUCACCGUCACCAAUUAGAGGCAAAACCCCUGCCUAUGCUGUAAAUGAAACGGGGCAAGCCAAGCAUGGAGUUUUGACUCGGAGUGCGCGCAGGCAGUUGUCCUUUGCAAUCGAUAAGACCUCCCUGUCAAAAGUAGGCAGAACGACGAGGUCCUCAAGGGUCGUGGGACCCGACGUCGAGUCAUGUGGCAAUUCUGGGGACACAACAACGAAAAGCAGGUUACGUGAAAAUAUAGAACCACCACCAUUGAAGGCGAGGCGAAGGGUUUUACAGGACAGCAUAAAUGACGGUGACUCUGUCAGCGAUCUUUUGUCUACACAAGGUGAAGAGGCCAUAACUGAGAAAGAGAGUGAGAAUGAGAACAAGGGAGUAGGCAGUCCAUCUCCAACAGUGACUAAGUGUCCAGCCAUAACAGUGGGUCGCUUGCAAAGUAAUGAAACAGAAUCAGCAGCCACUGUUAGUGGAAGUCGAAACAUGCCCAGAACUCGCUCUGUUACGGUUUCACUGAAAGGUAGGGAGGAGGUGCAGGUACCAAGCACCACGUGUGAUGUUUCACAUGCCAGCAAGCAGCAACUAGAAGGAUCAAACACUGGCCACAUUGCUGGUUCGUCAAGGUCACCAUUAAGAACACCUUCCAAGCGCAGGCGAGUCGCCGAAGCUGGCGCAAAUGUGACGCCACCCCUGGAAACCACGGAACGUGAUUUGUCUCAAACAAAUGACGGUCUUGGCGGGCUGACGCAGGUGCCCCUGUUGCGAAAUGUCAACGCUUCAUCCGACUCCUUGAGUUCCAACGAAGAGAAGGAAUUCGUUUGUGCCAUGCGACAGCGAACACAGUCAUUGCGAAGGCUGCCUUCACGAAGGUGUUCCCAGCGUAAUAACGAAGAGGAUUUCGUCAUUGAUGUUGAUGCAAUGGUUCGUUCCUUUUCGGACUCUGACGAUGGCGACCCUUCCUACGAAGUCCGUGAAACGAACCUUGACGCCAGCAUCGCCCGCCUGAGAAGACUCAAGGUGCCUCUUUAUGCACUGCAAGAAGAACAGUCAAGACCGCAGAGUGCUGCUUCAAGCUAUAAGGUUGCAAGCACAAGCGCAAGGAGGACUGGUAGGCUCUCGCUGACUGCAAUACGAGCUUCGCAGUCCGAGAACAGUGCAAGCACUCAGUCCAGCCGGUCACCUCGUUUCAGCCCAGCGCCAACUACGUCCAGUGGAAUAACAGACGCACAGAGCCCCUCGUCCAACUUCUGCACAUGCCAGUCGCCGUCCAGACACACGAGGAGUUUUGGCACUGGGCCGAUUGGUGCAGCGAUGGAAAAGCAAGCAGAACAAGAUGUACAAAGUCAAUUCCAAAGCAACGUCGGUGCGCCGCCAGUCCAUACGGACACAGCAACAUCCGCAGAAAAGACUCCAGUUCUGAGGCGAUCCACACGUGUCGGUACGAAACGAGACACACCGGCAUGGCCCACUCGUUCUAACCACCUGACGAGCAAGGUGCCUGCGGCAGCAAAGGGCCCGCGUCACCCGAGCAAGGACUUGGAUGUUUUCACCCAAGAACAGACUUCGCGGGCCACCAAAAGGAGCAAGAACUCGAAAAUGAGCCCUUUGUUGAAAACGCACACGGAGCCUUCCGACGAAAGUUUGAACGCAGCCGAACAGGAAUCCGUGACGGACAAGGCGUCAAGCGCCAUUUGCUCAACCUGCAAUCGCUCUGUGAAUUCUCCCAGCACUCAGGACAGUGGCACCAUGACGGACGACAGUUACCUUCAUGACGAGGACGCUUUUUCGGACUCGCCAAGGUAUUCCAAACGUAGGAAGACUGCUGGCCACAGUGCGUCAGUGUCACGGCCAAAGGCUGGAGCUGCCAGGUCAUCUCGCCAACACGGUGCAGCAAGUCAAGAUGCAAGUGUUCCAGUGAGGCGCAGCUCCCGUACAACCGCAGGUGCAUUGCGCAGACUGAGUUACUCCUGAAGCUCUGCUAUGUGUGGUGGGGAAAUAUCGUAAUGGACAAUUCUAUUCUGCUUGUGAUGUCGUUGUUGCUUGUGGGACCUUGUUAAUGGCAUUCACAGUGUUCCGACAGAACUGCAUUGGCAUAGCUUAUGUAACUGAAAGAUAAGUACUGUUGAAUUAUGUGUCAGUAAAUUUCAUAUCACUUAAUUUUUUUAGCUGAGGGUGGCAUACAGUUCAUCUUUGAAUGUUUCAUUUAAUGUUUGUUUUGCAAUAGUUGUAUGUGAUGUAGCGUACAGUAGCAGGGCAGCUGAUCUCACAGUAUGGUGUUGGCUCGGCUGUGUGCUUGUGUGAUUUACCAGGUUUAUUAUAGGUGUCAUGCACUUGAAGUUCAUUUGAGUAUGUUGAUGGAAAUGUAGACAAAGCAGUAAGUGAACUCAUUAAUGACCUUGUCGGAUUUGGCAUUCUUUGUAUGUAGUUAUAUCGUCAUCUGGUUUUGAAGACUUGACAAUAGCUUUAAUAAAACAGCAUUUAUGUUCUGUGCAUUGAAAGGCAUCGCAAGUGCAAUAUUCUUGGAGAAGGCAGCAUUUUUUGAGAAUGAUAAAAGUGUUGUGACUUUGGGGAUAUUAUCGUCUACCACAGGUUCCCGUGGAAACUAAGUAUGAGCUGUCAUGGUCAUUAUCUUAGAUAAUUAAACAAGAAAGGCUUCCAGUUCAUCUAAGUAAUGCACACGAGGGACAUAGCCAGAAAUUUAUUUCAGGGGAAGUGGAGUGGGAGGGGGGCAUCCCACCUUUAUUAUGUGCGUUUGUGUGUGAAUGUGUAUGUAUACAUGCAGAAUGUAAAAUUUCGGGUGGGGGUGGUGAUGAGAUCCCCCCCCCCCUUCUGGCUUCUCUUCUGGCUACGCUAAUGAUGCACAUGCUUACUUUUUAUUUGGACUCCCUUUGCAAAGUGCUUUCUGCGGGUCUAGUGAAACAAACUGACCGCCAAGAGCAAAGCUUUAUAUGUUGAGAACAAAACAUUUGGCUUGGGUGUAAAGGCUUAUCGACAUGCACUGCAAAGCACAUAAAUUGCUGCACGUAUACAGUGUAGUCUGCCGUUCGCCUAAAUGUGCGAGUGUGCUCACACUGUUUCAGGCAGGCAGCACAUGGCUGGGCCUUGUCAUCUGCUACUCAGGCGGGCACCCUACGCUUAUAUCAAGAACAAACAUAUUUUUUCCUCAAUCCGAGCAUUGGCACCAGUACAUAUUUCUUCCUGAUCAGCGGUGAAUUUGAAUUAAGUUCCCAUGCUUCUGUAGUAAACUGGCAGACUUUUUCCACUCUGUGUUUUGAGUUGUCCACCCUGUGUGAUAAAAUUUUGUUGGUGGCACUAGUCCUGUUUAUUGCACUCGUGCAGUGUACUGAAUAUACUUUCACACCUUUGCUGGUAUGGUAAACAACUAUGGGUUUUAAUGUUCAUGUGAACAGUCGACCAUCUUGUAUGUGUGGCCCUGCCCAUAUAUGCGCAGUUACCUUUGAAAGCGAAUGCGCUAUCUGGGACUGCCCAGUGCACUUAUUGAACAGCUGCUUAAGAAAGUGCAAAAGUCGCAGUCACCGAACAAUCUCUCAUUCUGUUUUUGUUUGGUUUCCGGGAAAUAGGGUUAAGCAGAUUCGUUUAUAAGCCCUUGUGUGAGUGUUUUUGCCCAAGCGUGUGCUUUUUAUGCAGAUGCUUUUAUGAAAAUGGUUUUGCUAGAACUUGCUGGGGGAAUCUAUUUGUUGGGUUUCUUGUGUUACGCAAACGUUUAGAUUUUUUUAUGCCUUGCCGUUAAUAUUACCAUUGUGGCACGUGACUUCGUCACAUUAAUGGUUCAUCUCCAAGUCCCUUACUAUUGUUGAGGUGUCCUUGUUGACACAAUGAUUACAUGUGCGGCACAUGUUUCACAAAUGUUCUGUUUGCAGUGUACACUUUGUUGAUGCCAUAUUUCGCUAUCUUUCUACAGUUGUAAGAAGAGAUAUGUUAAUGUUCGUGUUUAUAUAAGUGCUUUGUUAUAUGGAGACUAUUUGCACUUUGCUACUGGCGUGAAGCUUACUCAACACUCAGUUUCUGUGAUUCUGUGUUAUGUUCUGAAGUUAAAAGUCAGUUUCAUGCUGCCAGACAGGGGGUGUGCAUAUUUUGGUGUGUCAUAUCUUUCAUCAUUCAUUCUUGUUAUUCAUGCAUCGAGUGCUGCAUGAUGGUUAGUCACCUUAAAGUUUUUAGUGACGAGGUUUGCGAGAGUAUAAUAAAAAGCUGAAC